AAUUAUUAUUUUAAAAUAUAAAUCAACAGACAAGAUUAUUAUUUCUCUCUCACUUCCACAGAUUACUCCACCGUACUCCGUCGCCGCCGUGAUAAUCUCCCCCGCUGCCGUGCCUGAGAUAAUGGCCCCCACCAUCUUGAACGGAUCAGCAACUUUUAAUAGAGCGGGGUACUGUAAGUGAGAGGCGCGCCGUUGAUUAGUGAAUUCUUAACGGCUGGUGUUCGCAAGGUUUGAAAUUCGAAGGCCAUUUCAAUUCACUCUAAUGUUAUUCCACAAUAUAGAUAUAUGGGUGUAUACAAUUUAGUUCUGUGCUGAGUUAAUGAAUGCUUCGGUGUUGCUUUGGAAAUAAGUGUUUAUCUUACGAUGAUCUGGUACUGCACUGCUCUUGCCGUUUUUUGAAUGAAACAACGUUGGUUUCUCUUUGAGAUUGUGGCAAGUGAGUGUAGUUGAAUGUGUGUUACUACUUACUUGCUGGUGCGAGAUGCAUGUUCUUUGUUUUAAGCUCAAUAAUUUUGCUCAACCUCUCGAUGGUGACUGAAAAUGGCACGGAAUCUGUUUGAAGAAAAAGUUGAGAUAGGUUUUAUGAUUGUGAAACUUUUUCUCUUGCCGUUUUGUUUCAAAUAAGUGGCAUAUUGAAGGAUUCGUUAUUUCUUCUCUGCUUGAGGUCGUAUGGAAUCUUAUGUGUGUCCAAUUGGAUUGAUUUUGACCCAAUGUGUGUUAAUUAGACGGUCUAUUGGAUUUGAAACUAAAAGAGGAUGUUAUCCAUCCUUUUGAUAAUACGAUGUAUCCAAAAUGUCAUCCAAAUCCAAAGUAUUCGAGAGUUUGGUGGCUUAUCAGUAAAUUGACUCAUCCAUUUUUAAUUUGCAAUAACUUUUUAAAAACUGAAAAAUAAAAUAGGAAACUGUAAACCUCCCUGAAGGAGGCCCUAGUUUUCCAUAAAUAAGGAUUUGAGUUCAAGUCAAACCCAAAUGAUUUAAAAUAGCUUUCAGAUUAGUCAAAUCCAAAGUAGUUUCGAGAUAUCAAUGUCUAAAAUAAACCUGCUCUUGAUUUGAUGAAAUGCAUUGUGAGUUUGGCAUGGAUACAUCUUUACUACUCACUAUAUAACCAGUCUUACUUUGGAAGGAUUUUCUCUAUGUGGAAUUAAGAUUUUUCUCUUGUACUGCCUUCAUUGAUGAUUUUGCAUUGUAAGAUUGCUCUGUAUUAUAUGCUUUAAAUGUUACGGUUGAUUUAUGUCCUCCCGAGUUUCAGCAUUGCACACUGGGGAUGAGAAUUUAAUAUUUAUAUUCUGGGGAGGUGAAAAUACAUGUUGAAAUUCAAUCAUUUCAUCCUAAAAAAAACAGAGGUUCUUGUUGUGACUAGGAAAGGAAUAUGAACCAACAUCAUUCGGUUAUUUUCUUUUUGGUUCUAGUUGCCAGAAGGAGUCAUUGGCUCAGAGUUUGAUGCAAACGCUGGAAUUUAUUUUUUGCCGUUGCUAAUACAUGAAUGCUACCAACUAUACUAACAAGCAAUAGAAGCACCUCAGUCAACGAGCAAAAUGCUCACUAAACUCGGUUAAGAAUAUUUUAGAAAAGUAUGCUUUAGUUACCAGAUGUCAGGGUAAGAACUCUCGAAUUGUGGUUUUUGUAAAAGGCACUAAGUCACUGGUAUUCUUGUAGGUUAACUUAUGUUAAUCUCUCUUUUGAUAAUGUGAAUUGUUCCAUAACUAUUAGUUGCAGUAGCAUCUACAACGUGGAAUAUAUGCGAUUUCUAAG
rnacentral:sRNA from 1 species